AGUUAGUGUGGUCCCUCAUUUGAGUCCACCUGUGUAGGUACGGACCAGAGGAACCCCAGAGAGCAGCAGUGAGUACUGUUUCAGAACCUGCCGAGUCAGCCAGAGGUGAGUUGAACUUCUCUUUUCAGAACUAAACUGCUUUGAGCAUAUGUCAUGCAUCAUAAGAGUAUAGUAGGGUGUUUGCAUUAGUUUCACGAAGUUGACGCAUUGCAUAAUACGAUGUGUAUGAGGCUGUGGAUAGACCAAGGCGACUC
rnacentral:lncRNA from 1 species